UGCUAAGAAAAAAGACAGGGGAGGGAAGAGAUAGAACAGUUUGUACUCCAUCAGAUAAUAUGUUAAAUGCAUACCAGACAUGUUAAGUUCCACAGAAUAUCCAGAAAAAAUGCUACCACCUAAAUUACUGGUUUUUACUUUAACAAACUUUUUAAAUGCAUUACCUAAGCAGGAAUCCCUAAGUAAAUGCAUAAUUUCAUUUAAGGUAUUGAGAAAAAAGAUUUAAUUUCAACAUUAUUGAAAAGAAAAAUGCCAAAAUAAAACACUUUGGUCAUUCAUAAAAUUUUUUAAGUAUAUUAAUAAGACAGCCAAUUAAAGUAUUUAGCCACCCAACUAUUUCUUAUUAUAAAAACUAGCACAAAUUUAAGUUAAAUUUAAUCUGGGCACAGUAGCUUACACCCAUAAUCCCAGCCUUGACCAAGUCAAAAGUACUACCAUUGACGUUCAAGCACCUAUGGUACAAAAUCUUGUGAGCUGUGGAAUCUGGUGCCAGCCUGGAAAAGAUACUAUUUACAAAAGAUGGAGAAAUAGAGGACAAGGACUAAACUAACUGAAAAUAUGUUAUUAUGUAAUCUAAUAUGUAGAGGUCUCUAAUAUUAGAAGCCAUAAUAAACAGAAAACCUUAAGUCCACAAAUGAAUGAACAGAAAAUCUGAUAAAGUGAUGAAUUGUAUAGCCUCUAUUCACAAAGAAUUCCAUAACAGUAGAGAGAUUUGUUAUAUACAACUGUAUUCACUGGCCAGAGUAAGCCACAGUAAGACAAAACCAUACGUACACCACUGGACAAGAGGCAAGAAGCUAUUGCUUCUGUAAUAUGUCUGCCAAAAAUGUACUAAUGUCAAUCUAAUUCUAAGGCAACAUUAGAUAACUAUAAACUAAGGAAGAUUCAAAGACUUGAGUGACAUAAUCUCACACUAGAUCGUUUGACUUGGGACUGUCAGUGACUCCUAAUUCUCUGCAGUGUGGGUGAAGAAGACCUGAAGAGGUGGUGAACAGCACUGCUCCUGUGAACACCAGAGCUCAGAUCCCAGCACCUAUGUCAGCUGGCUCGGAACUUCAGCUGCAGUGGAUCCUGACAAUCAUGGGAGCUGAAUAUGGAGGGCAGAGACUCAUGUGGGGAAAACUGGCAUCUCUGAAUGAGAAAAUAUCAUAGUCGCAAGAGAAAGAAUUUGGGAGAGCAGCUCACUAGCACUGCUGAGACUUUGGAUUUGAUCCCUAUCUUCAGCAGUGACGUUUGGUAGAUAUGCCUGUAAUUCCAGCACUAGGGAGGAGGAGGAGGCAUGAGGAUCACACGUUCAAAUGCCGUCUUCAACUACACACCAAGUUCAAAGCCAACCUCAUCUUCAUUGAAUCCUGUUUCACACAAUGUCCUCCAGCCCCCUCAAGAAUGGUCUAGUGAGUUCUGCUGAACAGAAAUCGCUUCAGGAAUGGUGGGCUUCUCUUGCUGUACUUCAAAUGACUGAACCGAGAGCCUCACGGUGCUAGGCAACUACUCAACCACUGCAGUACACAGCCGCUUCAGUUUAGAAAUCCUAAUAGGUUUAAAGAUGCAGCAGUCCUACACAGAUAAAUCUAUAUUUAGAUUUCAACUGCAUUAAUUAUAGUCUUCAAUUUGAGAUCAAUUUCCUAAUUUUUUGAUCUACAAUUUCCUCAUGGACAACAGAACAAAACAGUUGUUAUUGCAAUAUAAAUAU